ACCAUGACUCUCGACAAUGGAUAUCUUAGCUCUCAUUUCGAUGAAGAACGUAGAAAAAUGUGAUACUUUGUGUGAAUUAUAGAAUCCCUUGAAUCAUCAAAUCUUUGAAUGCAAGUUGCACCUGAGGCCCUAGGUCGAGGGCACAUCUGGCUAGGUGUGGUGAUG
rnacentral:rRNA from 1 species